CUUUUGAGUUUUGACAAUCUGCCUCUCUAUCCUCAAUUUGCUAUUUGCUGAUGCUGUUCUGUUGACGAGAGAAAAUUUUCUUUUUCUUUUUUAUGCUCUUUUGGAAUUUAAGAGAUGCUCUGUCUAAAAGCGGAAGUCCUCGAUGACCACGACGCUAACAGCAGCAGUGUUUCUACUACUAGUAACAAUAGUGGUGGUGGGUUUGGGUUUAUUCUCCCAAUAAAUCUGGGAAGUUCCAUUCAUAAGUAUUUAUGGAGGAGUGGUAGGUUAUCCAAUCGAUCUAUUUCUUCUGGAGAUGGGUGUCCUCAUUCUUCCCUAAUUUCUGAUUUUGAGGAUAUUAAACCCCUGGAAAAAAGAAGUGGACAAUUGAAAGGUGGGAAUAUGUCUCUUUACAAAUACCAGCUUGAGGAAGAUGUUAAAAAGUUGCGACAGCAGUUGCAAGAAGAGAUUGACUUGCGCCUAGCUCUAGCAAGCGCUAUUGAACACUCUGAUUCAUCCUUCUCUAGUUCACCUUGUCAGCUUCCAGAUAAGGCCCAAGAGAUUUUGGAUAGCAUAGCUAUUCUGGAGAUUACUGUAUCGAAGCUUGAAGAAGAAUCAAUUGCGUUGCAAUAUCAGCUUAGUCAGGAGAAAAAUGAGCGCCAUCUUGCUGAGUGGCGUUUAAGGCAUUUGGCCUGUCCAUCACCAUCACCAUUGGAUUCCUCAGAGAUUAGGAGACCUUCCUGUGGAGAUAAUGUAGAAGGGAAAGUGGAUGAUAAGCCCCUCUGGGAAGAUAUAAACGAAGAGCUAAAAAGGGUUCAUUUUGUAGAGAAACUUUGGCACCACCCUAAUCGGCUUUCGGAAGAAAUGGUCUCGUGCAUGAGAGAUAUUUUUGUCUUCUUAGCAGAUUCUUCCAAGCUCUCUUCUUCUGAAUGUAUGGCUUCACCUUCUUCACCUCAGGGGCACCUCUCUUACUUUUCUUUGGCAUCUUUCUCCGACUCACCCGUAAUGAAUUCGUUUAUGAAGAAUCCCUCAGUUGACAUGGAACAUGGUUCUGAAGUCUCUGAAAAAUAUUGUAAAAUUGAUCCAUAUAAUGUUCCUGGUAAGGUAGAUUGGAUAGAAGGCAUUGGAGCUUACAGCACAGCAGUUGAGGUCUCAUGGUUGUCUGUUGGGAAGAAAGAACUUGAGUAUGCUUCUGGGGCCCUCAAAAGAUUUAGGUUACUUGUUGAGCAGUUGGCUGAAGUUGUCCCAUCUCGCCUGAGUUGCACUGAGAAGCUAGCAUUCUGGAUUAAUGUGUAUAAUGCUUUGAUCAUGCAUGCCUUUCUUGCAUAUGGAGUUCCAAGAAGUGAUAUUAAAUUAUUUUCCUUAAUGCAGAAGGCUGCUUACACCAUUGGAGGGCACACAUUCAGCGCUGCUGACAUUGAAUUCGUUAUUCUGAAGAUGAAACCACCAGCUCAUCGCCCACAAAUAGCCUUGCUACUUGCUCUUCAAAAAUCUAAGGUAAUUGAUGAGCAGAAGUUUUCCAUUGAUCUACCUGAGCCUCUGCUGGCUUUUGCUCUAAGUUGUGGGAUGCAUUCUUCACCGGCAGUGCGAAUUUUCAAGCCUGAAAAUGUAAACGAGUUGCUUGAAACUUCAUUGAAGGAUUAUGUGCAAGCCUCUGUCGGCAUAAGCAGGAAAGGUAAACUAUUGGUGCCAAAAUUGUUGUAUUGUUUCGCCAAAGGCAUUGUAGAGGACUUGCAGCUGCCUGAGUGGAUUUGCCAGUUCCUCUCCCCAGAGCAAGCUGCCACGGUUAAAGACAGUUCAUCUAAACACAAGUGGAGGUUACUUGGUGCUCGAAGCUUCUCUGUCAUACCUUUUGAUUCAAGGUUCCGCUUUCUUUUCAUAUUGUAGUAACUGGAUGAAAUUUCUAGUUGUCUUGAGCAUCCAAUCGAUGGAAACAUGUGGGUUCAAGCUUGUUUCCAGUUGAUCAAUUUCCCUUGAAAGACUGGAGGUUUGCCACACACAAGGUUUUAUUAGAUGCUUAUUGACUGAUCUAAAAUAGUGAAUUUUAUAAAAAUUUUAUUGUACAGUCAUAAAUUCCAUCAAUAAAUAUUCUUUCCUUAAUUUUACAAUCUAUGGACUACUUUGUGUUUCAAGUAUGAUCAUAGCAGCGGCAGCAGCAGCAGCAGCACACAAGUUUUGUAAGAUAGAAAGUUAUGUGCUCUGAGAAUCUGAUUGUUCAUAAAGCACCUGCCUUUUAAUCACACCUGCGAAGUCAAAAUGGCCAAGAAAAUUGCACCAACUGAGCAACCAGAAGAAUAAAGUAAUGCAAUUGUCUGUUAUAACAAUUUCAACAUUACGAACUAGUCUGUGUAUCCCUGCAUCGUAUGGGGUUAAUGUUUAUGACUGAAUGUAAAAUCCGUAUAUGAAAACAUUGAAUAAGUUGAUGUUAUUAGACUGGAGAAUUUAAUUAAUUUGC
rnacentral:misc_RNA from 1 species